rnacentral:rRNA from 1 species
GGUGCUUGCACCUUUCAAGCGAGUGGCGAACGGGUGAGUAACACGUGGAUAACCUGCCUCAAGGCUGGGGAUAACAUUUGGAAACAGAUGCUAAUACCGAAUAAAACUUAGUAUCGCAUGAUAUCAAGUUAAAAGGCGCUACGGCGUCACCUAGAGAUGGAUCCGCGGUGCAUUAGUUAGUUGGUGGGGUAAAGGCUUACCAAGACGAUGAUGCAUAGCCGAGUUGAGAGACUGAUCGGCCACAUUGGGACUGAGACACGGCCCAAACUCCUACGGGAGGCUGCAGUAGGGAAUCUUCCACAAUGGGCGCAAGCCUGAUGGAGCAACGCCGCGUGUGUGAUGAAGGCUUUCGGGUCGUAAAGCACUGUUGUAUGGGAAGAAAUGCUAAAAUAGGGAAUGAUUUUAGUUUGACGGUACCAUACCAGAAAGGGACGGCUAAAUACGUGCCAGCAGCCGCGGUAAUACGUAUGUCCCGAGCGUUAUCCGGAUUUAUUGGGCGUAAAGCGAGCGCAGACGGUUGAUUAAGUCUGAUGUGAAAGCCCGGAGCUCAACUCCGGAAUGGCAUUGGAAACUGGUUAACUUGAGUGUUGUAGAGGUAAGUGGAACUCCAUGU